GACGAACGCUGGCGGCGUGCCUAACACAUGCAAGUCGAGCGGGGUUGAGCGAGGGGUAACUCAAGCUUCUACCUAGCGGCGGACGGGUGAGUAACGCGUGGGCAACCUGCCUCAAGGUCUGGGAUAACAGCUCGAAAGGGCUGCUAAUACCGGAUAUGCCUAUGGCCUCGCAUGGGGCUAUGAGCAAAGGGGAAACCUGCCUUGAGAUGGGCCCGCGUCCCAUCAGCUAGUUGGUGAGGUAACAGCUCACCAAGGCGACGACGGGUAGCCGGCCUGAGAGGGUGACCGGCCACACUGGGACUGAGACACGGCCCAGACUCCUACGGGGGGCAGCAGUGGGGGAUCUUGCACAAUGGGCGAAAGCCUGAUGCAGCGACGCCGCGUGAGCGAAGAAGGCCUCGGUUGUAAGCUCUGUCUGGAGGGACGAAGGAAGUGACGGUACCGUCCGGAGGAAGCCACGGCUAACUACGUGCCAGCAGCCGCGGUAACUAGUCUACG
rnacentral:rRNA from 1 species